rnacentral:rRNA from 1 species
GUGUCAGCAGCCGCGGUAAGACGAACCGUGCGAACGUUGUUCGGAAUCACUGGGCUUAAAGGGCGCGUAGGCGGGCAUUCAAGUCAGGGGUGAAAUCCUCCAGCUUAACUGGAGAACUGCCUUUGAUACUGGGUGCCUCGAGUGAGGUAGGGGCGUGCGGAACUGAUGGUGGAGCGGUGAAAUGUGUUGAUAUCAUCAGGAACUCCGGUGGCGAAAGCGGCGCGCUGGACCUUAACUGACGCUGAGGCGCGAAAGCCAGGGGAGCAAACGGGAUUAGAUACCCCGGUAGUCC